rnacentral:rRNA from 1 species
UAGGGAAUCUUCGGCAAUGGGGGGAACCCUGACCGAGCAACGCCGUGCGAGUGAAGAAGGUUUUCGGAUCGUAAAGCUCUGUUGUUAAGGAAGAACGAGUGUGAGAAUGGAAAGUUCAUACUGUGACGGUACUUAACCAGAAAGGGACGGCUAACUACGUGCUAGCCGCCGCGGUAAUACGUAGGUCCCGAGCGUUUUCCGGAUUUAUUGGGCGUAAAGCGAGCACAGGCGGUUAGAUAAGUCUGCAGUUAAAGGCAGUGGCUCAACCAUUGUAGGCUUUGGAAACUGUUUAACUUGAGUGCGGAAGGGGAGGGUGGAAUUCCAUGUGUGGCGGUGAAAUGCGUAGAUAUAUGGAGGAACACCGGUGGCGAAAGCGGCUCUCUGGUCUGUAACUGACGCUGAGGCUCGAAAGCGUGGGGAGCGAACAGG